AGGGUUUGAUCCUGGCUCAGAACGAACGCUGGCGGCGUGGAUUAGGCAUGCAAGUCGAACGAGAAAGCUCCCUUCGGGGGGUGAGUAAAGUGGCGAAAGGGUGAGUAAUGCGUAGAUAACCUACCCUCGAAACCGGGAUAACAGUCCGAAAGGGCUGCUAAUACCGGAUGGCGCCCGGGUGACUUCGGUCGCUCGAGCUAAAGCUGGGGACCUUCGGGCCUGGCGAUCGAGGAGGGGUCUACGUCCUAUUAGCUUGUUGGUGGGGUAACGGCCUACCAAGGUGACGAUGGGUAGCCGGCCUGAGAGGGUGUCCGGCCACACUGGGACUGAGACACUGCCCAGACUCCUACGGGAGGCUGCAGUCGAGAAUCUUCCGCAAUGGGCGAAAGCCUGACGGAGCGACGCCGCGUGGACGAUGAAGGCCUUCGGGUUGUAAAGUCCUUUUCGCGCAGGAGGAAAACCAAGGUGCUAAUAACACCUUGUUUGACGUUACUGCGUAAAGAAGCUCCGGCUAACUUCGUGCCAGCAGCCGCGGUAAGACGAAGGGAGCAAGCGUUGUUCGGAAUCACUGGGCAUAAAGGGCACGCAGGCGGCCUGGUAAGUUGGAUGUGAAAUCCCCUGGCUCACCCAGGGAACUGCAUUCAAUACUGCCGGGCUUGAGGUCGGGAGGGGAGAGUGGAACUCCUAGUGUAGCGGUGAAAUGCGUAGAUAUUAGGAGGAACGCCGGUGGCGAAAGCGACUCUCUGGCCCGAUUCUGACGCUGAGGUGCGAAAGCCAGGGGAGCGAACGGGAUUAGAUACCCCGGUAGUCCUGGCCCUAAACGAUGAGCACUAAGUAGGGGUGGUUCCGAUGCCGUCCCUGCUGUAGCUAAUGUAUUAAGUGCUCCGCCUGGGGAGUGCGGUCGCAAGGCUAAAACUCAGAGGAAUUGACGGGGGCUCACACAAGCGGUGGAGCAUGUGGUUUAAUUCGAAACAACGCGAAGAACCUUACCCGGGUUUGACAUGCACGGAUUAGCUCCCUGAAAGGGGAGUGACGGGGUAAAACCUGGAACGUGCACAGGUGUUGCAUGGCUGUCGUCAGCUCGUGUCGUGAGAUGUUGGGUUAAGUCCCCUAACGAGCGAAACCCUUGCGUUCAGUUGCCAGCGGGUAAUGCCGGGGACUCUGGACGGACUGCCCUCGUUAAGAGGGAGGAAGGUGGGGAUGACGUCAAGUCAUCAUGGCCCUUACGCCCGGGGCGACACACGUGCUACAAUGGUCGGUACAAAGGGUUGCGAGGUCGCGAGGCCAAGCCAAUCCCAAAAAGCCGGCCCCAGUUCGGAUUGGAGGCUGCAAUUCGCCUCCAUGAAGUCGGAAUCGCUAGUAAUCGCGGAUCAGCCACGCCGCGGUGAAUAUGUUCCUGAGCCUUGUACACACCGCCCGUCAAGCCACGAAAGCUGGUAGUACCCGAAGUCGUUUGCCUAACCGCAAGGAGGGCGGCGCCGACGGUAAGACUGGUGAUUGGGACUAAGUCGUAACAAGGUA
rnacentral:rRNA from 1 species